GAUGAACGCUGGCGGCGUGCCUAAUACAUGCAAGUCGAGCGAACGGACGAGAAGCUUGCUUCUCUGAUGUUAGCGGCGGACGGGUGAGUAACACGUGGAUAACCUACCUAUAAGACUGGGAUAACUUCGGGAAACCGGAGCUAAUACCGGAUAAUAUUUUGAACCGCAUGGUUCAAAAGUGAAAGACGGUCUUGCUGUCACUUAUAGAUGGAUCCGCGCUGCAUUAGCUAGUUGGUAAGGUAACGGCUUACCAAGGCAACGAUGCAUAGCCGACCUGAGAGGGUGAUCGGCCACACUGGAACUGAGACACGGUCCAGACUCCUACGGGAGGCAGCAGUAGGGAAUCUUCGGCAAUGGGCGAAAGCCUGACGGAGCAACGCCGCGUGAGUGAUGAAGGUCUUCGGAUCGUAAAACCCUGUUAUUAGGGAAGAACAUAUGUGUAAGUAACUGUGCACAUCUUGACGGUACCCAAUCAGAAAGCCACGGCUAACUACGUG
rnacentral:rRNA from 1 species